GACGAACGCUGGCGGCGUGCUUAACACAUGCAAGUCGAACGGAAAGGCCCUGCUUUUGUGGGGUGCUCGAGUGGCGAACGGGUGAGUAACACGUGAGUAACCUGCCCUUGACUUUGGGAUAACUUCAGGAAACUGGGGCUAAUACCGGAUAUGAGCUCCUGCUGCAUGGUGGGGGUUGUAAAGUUUCGGCGGUUGGGGAUGGACUCGCGGCUUAUCAGCUUGUUGGUGGGGUAGUGGCUUACCAAGGCUUUGACGGGUAGCCGGCCUGAGAGGGUGACCGGCCACAUUGGGACUGAGAAACGGGCCAGACUCCUACGGGAGGCAGCAGUGGGGAAUAGUGCAAAAAGGGCGGAAGCCUGAAGCAGCAACGCCGCGUGCGGGAUGACGGCCUUCGGGUUGUAACCCGCUUUCGCCUGUGACGAAGCGUGAGUGACGGUAAUGGGUAAAGAAGCACCGGCUAACUACGUG
rnacentral:rRNA from 1 species